rnacentral:rRNA from 1 species
AGGACGAACGCUGGCGGCGUGCUUAACACAUGCAAGUCGAGCGGAAAGGCCCUUCGGGGUACUCGAGCGGCGAACGGGUGAGUAACACGUGGGCAACCUGCCCUUAGCUCUGGGAUAGCUCCGGGAAACCGGAAUUAAUACCGGAUAUGACCUAGGCCGACAUCGGCCGUGGUGGAAAGUUUUUCGGCUAGGGAUGGACUCGCGGCCUAUCAGCUAGUUGGUGGGGUAAUGGCCUACCAAGGCGACGACGGGUAGCCGGCCUGAGAGGGCGACCGGCCACACUGGGACUGAGACACGGCCCAGACUCCUACGGGAGGCAGCAGUGGGGAAUCUUGCGCAAUGGGCGAAAGCCUGACGCAGCGACGCCGCGUGGGGAUGAAGGCCUUCGGGUUGUAACCCCUUUCAGCAGGGACGAAGCGAAAGUGACGGUACCUGCAGAAGAAGCGCCGGCUAACUACGCGCCAGCAGCCGC